UAGGGAAUCUUCGGCAAUGGACGAAAGUCUGACCGAGCAACGCCGCGUGAGUGAAGAAGGUUUUCGGAUCGUAAAACUCUGUUGUUAGAGAAGAACAAGGACGUUAGUAACUGAACGUCCCCUGACGGUAUCUAACCAGAAAGCCACGGCUAACUACGUGCCAGCAGCCGCGGUAAUACGUAGGUGGCAAGCGUUGUCCGGAUUUAUUGGGCGUAAAGCGAGCGCAGGCGGUUUCUUAAGUCUGAUGUGAAAGCCCCCGGCUCAACCGGGGAGGGUCAUUGGAAACUGGGAGACUUGGGUGCAGAAGAGGAGAGUGGAAUUCCAUGUGUAGCGGUGAAAUGCGUAGAUAUAUGGAGGAACACCAGUGGCGAAGGCGGCUCUCUGGUCUGUAACUGACGCUGAGGCUCGAAAGCGUGGGGAGCAAACAAG
rnacentral:rRNA from 1 species